AGGUUUGGGUGGAGGGCUUUAGACGGGUGCAUUUGAAAAAGAGCUACCUUGACUUCAUCAGUGGAGUACAGAUUCAUCUCCUUAGUAACUCGCGGUUGUAUCACUUGUAAGACACGAUCUUGGGCAUCCCGAUUCGAUCCGUUCUGGGCAAAGAGGUCCUGAAAGUAUUGGAUAAUGACCACGUUCUCAAUACCCGGUAAGGAAGACUGCCAUGUACCUUGGCUGUCAAACAACCCCUUCAAUUUGUUCCGCUUUCUUCUAUUUGAGGCUUUCCUAUGGAAGAAUUUCGAGUUACCUAGUCCGCUCGAUCGAAAGGGUUUUGGAGCAAUUCCUGCAGAGUUAAUCGUACAUUCUCUAAUUCCUUUCUUCGGGCUUGAAAAACAGUGUAGUCCCAAUUCAGAAAGUGACUUCCAGAAUCUCUUAUCUUGCAGCAAACUUGCACCACAGGGCUGCCACUUUGAGGAACUGCCCAUGAGUUAUCCACUACUUGUGAAAAGGAGGGAUCAGAACACCAAAUUUCUUCAAACCAGUAGGGAGGUUACAAUCGUCCAUUUCCAGUCUCUCUUUUCUUACCUCAAGCAGGAGAGGAUGAUCUACUCGGAGGGAGUGCUAUGACUCUUGAGAAAUUGAACUCCGCUAGCCAAGCUUGAGUACACAGCCCUCUAUCAAGCCUUUCUUUUGUAUGAGAAUCAUUCCAAGUGAACCAACCUCCAGCAGCUCCCAUGUCAUCAAGUUGUAGGAUCUCAUUGAUAUCCCCAGCCACAACCCAUUUGUCCGUCUGCCCUCGAUACAGAGAGAGAAGUAGAUUCCAUGAUAUGUGUCGUUGUCCCGUAUCCGCAUGCCCAAAUCGCCAUUCGCAGUUCUCCGGUUCAAUCACAUCUACAUCGAUAAAGAAGUAGUUGUGACCCCUGACUGGAAUCUGGACAGUGUCGUCCUACAGAAGAGCUACUUCGGCCAAGUCCUCGCGAUCAUCGAACUCGGCAUGAGCCAUUCCAAUUGCUUUAUGCAAGGACUGAUGUUGUCUGGUGUUGCACUUAGUUUCCGAGAGGAAAACCAUAUGAAUCUGGUGUUUCUGAAUUAGAAGUUUCAAGGCAUGACGAGUUUCUCGAUUGGCGAUGCCUUGACAGUUCCAAACGAGAACUUUCAUCACAGCGAAGGUGGGGGGAACCUUCCUGGUCAUCGGAGAUUGACAGAUGACACUGAGAAGCCAAACCCUAGGCAGCUACGCUGUAGAGAUGUUUUCGGUUAUUUUUCUUGUUUGUGAUGGAAGAUCCUGUAUACAAAUUAUGAUCCUAGUUGCAUAUGUAUUAGGUUGCUUUUGUAUCGUUUUAUUUUGGUUUUAAACCAAUUAGGGUUCCUCCUAAUGCAUGGGUGAGCUAUUUC